rnacentral:rRNA from 1 species
GACGAACGCUGGCGGCGUGCCUAAUACAUGCAAGUCGAACGCUGAAGAGAGGAGCUUCCUCUUCUUGGAUGAGUUGCGAACGGGUGAGUAACGCGUAGGUAACCUGCCUUGUAGCGGGGGAUAACUAUUGGAAACGAUAGCUAAUACCGCAUAACAAUGGAUGACACAUGUCAUUUAUUUGAAAGGGGCAAUUGCUCCACUACAAGAUGGACCUGCGUUGUAUUAGCUAGUAGGUGAGGUAAUGGCUCACCUAGGCGACGAUACAUAGCCGACCUGAGAGGGUGAUCGGCCACACUGGGACUGAGACACGGCCCAGACUCCUACGGGAGGCAGCAGUAGGGAAUCUUCGGCAAUGGGGGCAACCCUGACCGAGCAACGCCGCGGGAGUGAAGAAGGGUUUCGGAUCGUAAAGCUCUGUUGUAAGUCAAGAACGGGUGUGAGAGUGGAAAGUUCACACUGUGACGGUAGCUUACCAGAAAGGGACGGCUAACUACGUG